rnacentral:sRNA from 1 species
GUCGGAGUCUGGUAACACUGUUCUGAUUAUCAACAACCUUUCCCGUACUUGCUCUUGACAUCAGGUUUUGUUCGUUCCUCGCUCCUCCUCAGUGCAGCAGUGCAGCUGCAUUCUUUCUCGCUCCACACCCCGCACCUUUCCUCAGCCCGAGAGCACCUGUUUAUUCUAAAGGAGCAAAAGAGACGAACAGAAGUGCACUUGCCACGCUUGAAUUGGUGAAGCGGCAGCCUGCUCUCCACGCGGAAAUGCCAGUGGAAGGAAAGGCGCAGGCAGGCAGAGAAUCAUAGACUGGAGGAGCCAGCCAGUUCCAGUUGCAGAUCCCAUCCCGUCGAGGCGCCAUGACAUCGCCCUAAAGUGGCCCCCAUAGCAAGAGAUACACACAGUACUUAGAGCAGUACUUUAGCUCCGGAGUCCGGAUAGCUGAAUAGAUAAGGAAGGAGUAGCGGAGGGGGAGAACAUUUGUGCUAACUUCUGAAUGGAAUGACGAUGUGAUGGGCUCGUGCUCGUGUACGCGGCGACACUUUUUGCUGUCAAUAUGCUUCCUGCAAGUGAUAACCAUCAUCGAGCGCCAGGUAUUCGAUUU